rnacentral:rRNA from 1 species
AUGAACGCUGGCGGCGUGCCUAAUACAUGCAAGUCGAGCGAACGGACGAGAAGCUUGCUUCUCUGAUGUUAGCGGCGGACGGGUGAGUAACACGUGGAUAACCUACCUAUAAGACUGGGAUAACUUCGGGAAACCGGAGCUAAUACCGGAUGAUAUUUUGAACCGCAUGGUUCAAAAGUGAAAGACGGUCUUGCUGUCACUUAUAGAUGGAUCCGCGCUGCAUUAGCUAGUUGGUAAGGUAACGGCUUACCAAGGCAACGAUGCAUAGCCGACCUGAGAGGGUGAUCGGCCACACUGGAACUGAGACACGGUCCAGACUCCUACGGGAGGCAGCAGUAGGGAAUCUUCCGCAAUGGGCGAAAGCCUGACGGAGCAACGCCGCGUGAGUGACGAAGGUCUUCGGAUCGUAAAACUCUGUUAUUAGGGAAGAACAUAUGUGUAAGUAACUGUGCACAUCUUGACGGUACCUAAUCAGAAAGCCACGGCUAACUACGUG